ACGUAGGGGGCGAGCGUUGUCCGAAGUUACUGGGCGUAAAGCGCGCGUAGGCGGGCUGUUAAGUCGGAAGUGAAAGGCUGAGGCUCAACCUCAGUAGUGCUUCCGAUACUGCCAAGCUAGAGUACGGGAGAGGGAAGUGGAAUUCCUGGUGUAGCGGUGAAAUGCGUAGAUAUCAGGAGGAACACCGGUGGCGAAGGCGGCUUCCUGGACCGAUACUGACGCUGAGGCGCGAAAGCGUGGGUAGCAAACAG
rnacentral:rRNA from 1 species